CCUCGCAUUCUGAGUGUGGAGAGAGAUGGAGGAAUCGUAUACUCUUGGAGAGUAAGUUUGGCUUUAGUUUGAUGUGUCACUUUAAUUUGACAGGUCAUGCGCGCAACGUUCCAUUCAUAGCAGCGCGAAUGACGCGCGCGGGAAAAUCUGUCGCCAGUCUAAAGCAAACGAGCUCUACGUGCCAUACAUACAGAAGACACUGUAGUGCAUGCAAACUGAAUGGAUGUCACUAUGUUCACUUCCUGUUAUACUUUUGUUAUUUUACUUACUGAUUUCCUGAUCCUUAUGUUUAGGGAGCAACAGGAACUACAAGAAUUGGAAAGUACGAUCGUCACAGUGCAGAGAAUAAGCUCCUCUACACUUUUGAAAAGCAAGAGUGUGUCACCAGCUGCUCUUUAAAUAAAGAAGAAACACUCCUAGCGGUCAGUCUAUCUCAGUCCACACGGAGAAGGCAGCUUUAAACCAG